UUCCGGUUGAUCCCGCCGGACCCGACCGCUAUCGGGGUGAGGCUAAGCCAUGGGAGUCGCACGCCCCGAUUACCGGGGCGUGGCGGACGGCUGAGUAAUACGUGGCUAACCUACCCUCGGGACGGGGACAGUCCCGGGAAACUGGGGCUAAUCCCCGAUAGGUGGGGACUCCUGGAAGGGGUCCCCACCUAAAGGGUUCUGCGGGGAUGUCCGCAGAGCCGCCCGAGGAUGGGGCCACGGCCCAUCAGGUAGUUGGCGGGGUAACGGCUCACCAAGCCUAUAACCGGUACGGGCCGUGGGAGCGGGAGCCCGGAGAUGGACACUGAGACAAGGGUCCAGGCCCUACGGGGCGCAGCAGGCGCGAAACCUCCCCAAUGCCCGAAAGGGUGAGGGGGUCACCCCGAGUGCCGGCCUCGUGCCGGCUUUUGCCGGGUCUAAAUAGCCCGGCGAAUAAGGGGGGGGCAAGUCUGGUGUCAGCCGCCGCGGUAAUACCAGC
rnacentral:rRNA from 1 species